rnacentral:lncRNA from 1 species
AGCUGAGCAUGCAUCAAAAACUUCCUCCAGUCCGGAAAAAAUAAGGGGGAGGAGAACUAUAUUCGCAGAGCCACCUAUUAAUAUUGUUGAUCAAGAUCUUAGAAAUGCAGUGCAACUUUUGACUCGUAUAGUUGCUGGGCAAGCUCAAGGGCAAGCCAUUCCUACUGCAGGUCCUAGUGGUAUAGAUAGGGCGGCUAGCCUUCGAACACAGGAUUUUCUUAAGAUGGA